UUGGAGGGCAAGUCUGGUGCCAGCAGCCGCGGUAAUUCCAGCUCCAAUAGCGUAUAUUAAAGUUGUUGCAGUUAAAAAGCUCGUAGUUGAACUUCAGGCCUGGCUGGACGGUCCGCCUUCCGGGCGAGUACUGUCUGUGGUCGGGUCCUACCUUCUGGCGAAGCGUCAUGGCCUUAACCGGCCGUGGCGGGGAACCAGGACUUUUACUGUGAAAAAAUUAGAGUGUUCAAAGCAGGCAAUUCGCUUGGAUACAUUAGCAUGGAAUAAUGGAAUAGGACAAUGGUUCUAUUUGUUGGUUUCUAGGACUGUUGUAAUGAUUAAUAGGGAUAGUUGGGGGCAUUAGUAUUCAAUUGUCAGAGGUGAAAUUCUUGGAUUUAUUGAAGACUAACUACUGCGAAAGCAUUUGCCAAGGAUGUUUUCAUUAAUCAAGAACGAAAGUUAGGGGAUCGAAGACGAUCAGAUACCGUCGUAGUCUUAACCAUAAACUAUGCCGACUAGGGAUCGGAUGAUGUUAAUUUUUAAUGACUCAUUCGGCGCC
rnacentral:rRNA from 1 species